AAACUUACCUAGCAGGGGAGAUACCAUGAUCACGAAGGUGGUUUUCCCAGGGCGAGGCUUAUCCCUUGCACUCUUGAUGUGCUUACUUUUGUGAUUUCCCCAAAUGUGAGAAGCUUGACUGCAUAAUUUGUAGUAGUGAGGAACUGUGUUUGCAUUCUCCCCU
rnacentral:snRNA from 1 species